rnacentral:tRNA from 1 species
CCAGCCGUUGGUCGGGUUGCUGGUGCGGUGGCCGUCGACCGCCUGGCCCGGCGCGAACGUCGCGGCCGUGCUGGUCGCCCCGGCCGUC